ensembl:lncRNA
UCAAAUGUCAGAUUUUUUGUUUCACUUUCCAUAAGCUUUUUAAAUGUGAUUUUAUUAUUAAGAGAACAGAUAUCAUGUAUUUCAUAGAUACAGUUCUAUGAAGAUAACCAUGCUUCCCUUCCUCCUUCCUUUCUCCCCCUUCCCCCUUCCUUUCUUUCCUUUUGCUUUUCCUUUAAUUUUUGCAAUAAUAUGCUUUCAAUUUACUUUAUAAACACGGGCUUAAUCCUCCACUAACCCUAUCAUUUUACCUGCCUAUCCUUUGGAGUCACUUUGUUAGAGUCGACCGCCCGAAAAACGUCACCAAGAGACACGUCUCUUAUGCAAACAGCACGGGGAAGUUUUAUUGAUUAUCCAGCAUGCUGGGGCUGUCUGAUCAUCAUGAGCAGAGCAGCCCCGAAUAACCAAAGGUUAGGAUUUAUAAAGGCAAAAACCGCAAAACCGGGAAGGGGAAGAGAAUACACGGUUGUUAAGUGGUUGCUAAAGUCUUACAAUCAGCAAUUAUGAUCUUAAGACAUAGACAAAUCACAUCUUCAUUAUUAGCCCCAGUUAACCCAGGUGCAACCUUUUUACUUUUAAGCUUGAGCAAUCAUGCUAGGGGGUUUUUGUGCGUUGCCAAGGGUGAUGUAGUGCACUGCUAUUGUCCGAUUAUUUGAGAUCAUAGUUUCAGACCGGAGUCUCACGGUGGGGGGGUUCUUUCCCAGAAUGCAGUCUCAAGUGCUCCAAAAUGGAGUCCCUACUGUCAAGGUGCUACUUCACUCUGUUUUAUUUUUACAGCUGCACCAGGAAGGUUUAAACCUGUAAGCUUAACUUUUUACACCCACACAUAUACAAUUUUAACUCUUCAACUUCUCUCCCUUAAUAGUAGUAAACAGCUUUAACAACAGAUCCUGACUUGACCCCUUUUAGGUUGGUGUCUUACUAUACUUCAGACCUGAAUGAAUGAAAGAAUGAUCCAGUUCAUGAGCUAGACUCCAUACUGAAGCUAUGUCUCAAGCUCCUAUUAGAACAUGUAGAGGCUUAACCUGGUUUGCCACAAUGCUGGACCCUUUUCAAGAUUUUAAGAUGAUUGACAUCGAUAUUUUCCAGCAACACAAAAAUCUGAAUGCUGAGAACGAUCUUCAUUCUCGCAGUAGGUGUGGCAAACAGACUCAUUUUUCAAGGAGUAAAACGAUGCAUAAAAUGUUUUAAUAAUGUUUCCAGGUAGCAGAACUUUAAUAGUCUAUGAUCUUUAUAGAUUUCAUCUUUGGACUGUAUCCAUUUGUGAAUGACCCUGAAAGUUAUCAUGAGAAAUGGUAAUAUGCCAUUUUGCUAAAACACAAAUGUUAAUUUCAUGCAACCACGAACCUGGUACUAGUAAUUGAAUAACAAGGGUCUAGUUAACCGAUCACUCAGUCUGUUCAGCUCAACAUUGCUCUGCUGUUAUUUAUCAUAUCAUUAAUAAUAUUUUACAGAUAAGCAAUAAUACAGUCAAUUUACCAAUACACCAAUCUUAUACUAGAGUAACGCUAAUAUACUGCAGAGUCAGGAAGAUCUUGAGACACAUCCCUCAUUAAAAUCAGAAAACUGGGGUUAGCAUUGUGGCAUGGUAGGUAAAAGCCCUGCCUGUGACACCGGUAUCACACAUGGGUGCCAGUUUGUGUCACGACUGCUCUAUUUCCAAUCCAGCUCCCUGCUAAUGUCCUGAGAAAAGCAGUGGAAGAUGACCCAAGUGUUUGUGCCCCUGCUACCCAAAUGGGAGACCUGGAUGAAGCUCCUGGUUCCUGGCUUUGGCCUGGCCUAGCCCUGGCCAUUGCAUCCAUCUGUGAAGUGAACCACCAGAUGGAAGAUCUGUGUGUGUGUGUGUCUUGAUUAAUCCAUAGUCAACAUGUUUGAGCUUCUAAUACUAUAUUACAUUGUACAUGAUUGGAACUCAGUGAAGUCUAUAUUCAAUGAAUAAUUCUAAAAACAUAUGCACUGUGAACCUAAAAGUGCUCUGAAAAAUACAGUCUAUUAAAAAAUUAUGCGGGAUGGGGCCAGAGCCAUGGCUCACUUGGUUAAUCCUCCACUGCGGUGCCGGCAUCCCAUGUGGGCGCUGGAUUCUGGUCCCGGUUGCUCCUCUUUCAGUCCAGCUCUCUGCUGUGGCCCGCGAGGGCAGUAGAGGAUGCCCAAGUGCUUGGGCCCCUGUGCCCAUGUAGGAGACCAGAAGGAGGCGCCUGGCUUCUAGCUUCGGAUCGGUGCAGCCAUUUAGGGAGUGAGCCAAUGGAGGGAAGACCUUUCUCUCUGUCCUCUCUGUCUCUCUGUCUAUAAUACCUGUCAAAUAAAUUUUUAAAAAAUUAUGUGAGGGCCA